UAAGGUAGACAAUAAACAGAUAAGGGCUAGCUACGAGCUAGAUACAGUUUCAGUGUUAUCACAUUUCUUUUCAUGCCAUUAUAAGAUUUCUCAUUUUUCAUUAUUCAUCUUCUAAAAUUUGAGAGAGAGAGAAAAGAAGAAAACCAGAGUGAUGUAAAUCGGCCAUGGUAUCUUCUUCUUUUGCUAGACUGACGACGGGAACCAAUAUUAGCGACAGCUAUUUAGUAAUGGCUGGUCAUGGUGCAUGGUGACGAUCUAGCCACUGGAGUCGAUUUUCGCAAUGGCUUCCAUUUUUGGUUUCAACUCCGUGUAAAUGAAAGAAAGAUAUUUCUUCUGCAGUUGAAGAGAGGAAGUGAAUCUGGUGAAUACCAUGGGCGAGACUGCUAAAAAAAUUGGUGUCUCUGGCCUCAUUUCGUAUUGUGAUGAUCUUGUUAGAGUUCUUCAGAACAAAAAGGACAUUAAUAAUUUGAUGCUGUGUACUGACAAUGUCGAAUUGUUUCAAUCAUCAUGUGAUGGGGAUUUUUCCGAGGUUCAAACUUCUUUGGAAGCCACUUGACAACCUCCUUUCCGACGCAUAUCAGAAGAAGAUAGAUGAAUGCCAGCGAAGGAUAAAUGGUGUGAAAAGUGAAGUUGUUAAUGAUGCUGAGUUAGAUUCUCUCCAAAAAGAAUAUGAGGAACUUAACAGAAAAAGUUGAGUGUUCUGUUGAUUUUUGAGGUGUCCCUGAUGACUUAUGGCCAGGAAACUAUAGUGGUUUUGGUUACUGAUAUUCUUUUGUUUUCAAUUCACACAAUUGUCAGUGACAAGAUCAACGAGCUGGAGCAACAGAGGGUUUCGCUCGAAGAACGAGAGCGGAACUUGAAGAAAGCUGAUAAGGAUGAAUUUAGAGAACAGAAGAAGCUGUCCAUGUAUGCAUCUGUGACUAAUAUCAUUCCAAAUAUGGAUAUUGGAACAAAAAUUUCUGGUCAUAUCGUGGAAAGGGAAAAAAGGACUGUGGAAACAUUUGAAUUUGAAGCAGCAAACUCUUGGGUUUUCCUUAAUUAGAGAUAUGUAACAGCGUCUGGAAAACGAUCUCUUGAGAGCUUUACUAGAUAUGGUAAAUAUGUGUUAGAUAUGGUGGAUUUGUUACUAGGGUGCGUUGAAAGUUGUCACAGUCUGGUCCCUCUGCCUCUGCCACUCCGAAUCCUGACAAGCCUGAAGCUUAAAGUUGCUGACGAGCUCUUCCUUGCCGUCUCUGCACUGUUGUUGGUGUCUUUUUAUUUAUUUUUAUUUUUUUCAAUUGAACCCUUUUACGGUGUUUAUUGUGGGAUUUGGCUGCUUGUUAUAUUUUGUUGUAAGUUGUAACCUUCGCUCCCAAGCUUGGUAUUUUUGUUACUGUUUCUUCUCUUUCAAAUCUUUUAUUUAUUAAUUUUUAUUUCCCUUU